rnacentral:rRNA from 1 species
UACGUAGGGGGCAAGCGUUAUCCGGAUUUACUGGGUGUAAAGGGAGCGUAGACGGCAGGGCAAGUCUGGAGUGAAAGGCAGGGGCCCAACCCCUGGACUGCUCUGGAAACUGUCCGGCUGGAGUGCAGGAGAGGUAAGUAGAAUUCCUAGUGUAGCGGUGAAAUGCGUAGAUAUUAGGAGGAACACCAGUGGCGAAGGCGGUUUACUGGACUGUAACUGACGUUGAGGCUCGAAAGCGUGGGGAGCAAACAGG